rnacentral:lncRNA from 1 species
AGUGAAAUGUUGUAAUAGGAAGUAGAUUGUUACGUAAAUUAUUAUUCAGGAAAAGAUGUAUAAAUGAAAAUAUUUCAACCAAUUCUCGCAGAGCGCAAGCCAAAUUAGCAGAGCCAGAAAAAAUAGAUUCGCACAGCGCACCAGGACCUGUGCGCUCAGCGAAUAAGAGAAGUUGAAGAAAAGAAAAUUUUGAAAUUCGCUU